GACGAACGCUGGCGGCGUGCUUAACACAUGCAAGUCGAACGGAAAGGCCCUGCUUUUGUGGGGUGCUCGAGUGGCGAACGGGUGAGUAACACGUGAGUAACCUGCCCUUGACUUUGGGAUAACUUCAGGAAGCUGGGGCUAAUACCGGAUAGGAGCUCCUGCUGCAUGGUGGGGGUUGGAAAGUUUCGGCGGUUGGGGAUGGACUCGCGGCUUAUCAGCUUGUUGGUGGGGUAGUGGCUUAUCAAGGCUUUGACGGGUAGCCGGCCUGAGAGGGUGACCGGCCACAUUGGGACUGAGAUACGGCCCAGACUCCUACGGGAGGCAGCAGUGGGGAAUAUUGCACAAUGGGCGGAAGCCUGAUGCAGCAACGCCGCGUGCGGGAUGACGGCCUUCGGGUUGUAAACCGCUUUCGCCUGUGACGAAGCGUGAGUGACGGUAAUGGGUAAAGAAGCACCGGCUAACUACGUG
rnacentral:rRNA from 1 species